ACCGACCAGACAUUUCCACAAUAUACUUUUUACACUAUAAAUGCUUUUGAUGGGCUUCAUCUUUGGUUUCGGCUUCGCCGACAAAUAUCUCACAAACAUUCUGCCUUCAAGCAACAACACAACUCCCACUCUAAAUGUAUUUUAUACACUCUCAAACGCACCGUUUUGAUUUGUGUUAUAAAUUUGACGCUGCCAUUGUUUUUUUGUUUUUGACAGGCAUGGCUUUUCUUUUUAAGCCUUUCCUUUUAUCUUUUAUAGCCAUCUUCCACAUCAUUUCUCUUCCAAGUAAUCUUAAGAAAUGCAGUUCUUCUUCCAAGUAAUCUUAUCAUUUCUCUCAUUUUAUUCGUUCUUCUCUUUUCAAGUCUUCAAUCUUAUACUCAGUAAAUAUAUUAAACUGCUUUUUCACUUCAGUUCCAGACAACUGAGAAGGUGUUUGUCCCUACUCUCUAGUUUUAUUCAAAGACACUAUAUUUUCGAAACCUAUGAUUUGUUGGGAAAAAUCGACGGUGACCCACGUGACAAAAUUUUCUACUAUGUAUCAACCAAUUAGAUCCAGUGCUUUGUUGGCAAACAAGACAUGCUUAUUUACCUUUAAUACUCCACCCAGACAAGUUGCCACUGAUAGUUCAUAACAAUGCUGCGUGUAACUUGAACAUUUGAUUACGUGAUGUACUGUAUCAUUCCAACCAUAUCAU
rnacentral:lncRNA from 1 species